rnacentral:rRNA from 1 species
GAUGAACGCUGGCGGCGUGCCUAAUACAUGCAAGUCGAGCGACGCGGGGCCGGGUGAGUAACACGUGGAUAACCUCCUAUAAGACUGGGAUAACUUCGUGAAACCGGAGCUUAUCCGGAUUAUUAUAGCAGGAUCCGCGUUGCAUUAGCUAGUUGGUAAGGUAACGGCUUACCCAGGCCACGAUGCAUAGCCGGCCUGAGAGGGUGAUCAGCCACACUGGAACUGAGACACGGUCCAGACUCCUACGGGAGGCAGCAGUAGGGAAUCUUCCGCAAUGGGCGAAAGCCUGACGGAGCAACGCCGCGUGAGUGAUGAAGGUCUUCGGAUCGUAAAGCUCUGUUAUUAGGGAAGCGGUACCUAAUCAGAAAGCCACGGCUAACUACGUGCCAGCAGCCGCGGUAAUAC